rnacentral:tRNA from 1 species
GUCGGCAUAGCUCAGGUAGUUAGAGCAUCUCACUCAUAAAGAGAAGGUCCCAGGUGCAACUCCUGGUGCCGACACCA